AGACCGUUAUGCGAACAAUUUCUUGCCAGUUUCUUAAAUCGUGCCCAUGCGUCACAGAGUGUUUCCCUCUCCUUUUGUUCAAAAUUUGUAAUGUCAUGCCUUUGCUU